rnacentral:lncRNA from 1 species
UCAUAACUCUUGUUCAAAGGACCAUUUUCUCCAAUUCGAGCAUCAAGAGCGUUUUCUACGUUUUAACCGCAAAAAAUGUAGUGGCGACUCCAAAUCAUUGGGAGAGGUAGAAGUCAUGUUAGCCUCCUUCUAAGUUGCAGACGCGGUCUUCCAACUAAAUAUAGGAUCGUGAGAAGCCCCAUAUUUUAAAUGAUGCAUCAAAACUGAAUUCUUUGAUGUUAUUAAAGCUAGUGGUUCCUGAAAAAUUAGCGAUACAAGACAAAGUUCACAAAAAAAUGCAAGUAUUCAUUUUUUGAGCAUUUAUGGACAUUUUUCUUCUUAUUGAAUAUUUUGAAUGAGUUUAAUGGCAAAUCAAAUUAUAUUUUCCAAUCACAAAACAUAAUUCAAUGUGAUUUGAAAUUUGAAAUUUUGAACAUGAUUUUGGCUUAAACACUCACCCAACUUUUUAAGUAUUUUCAACAUUUGGUUAAACCAUUUUUCUCAUAAAAUUUGGGCGACCAAACCAUUGCCCCUUCAAACUUUUUUCUCAACCAUCACGAACUAAGUUAUGUUAAGGUAAAAUUUGGUCACAAAUUCUUGUGGUUCAACUGAAUGCUUAUUUGGAGAAAAUCUAGAGAUUUUUCACUUUAGGAAACCUUUUCAUAUGAAAGUGGUUUAAUAAUGUUCUCAAAACAACUAACACAUAUUUAACAUGUACAAGGCAAAAAUAAUCAAUCAUGAUAUAUAUGUUGUUCAUAAAAUAUUCAAAAAUGGGAAUUUUGAAACUUUGUGGUUUGGUAAUUUUUUAAAAUAAAUUUGAGUUGAUUUUAGAAGAUUUACCAACAAAAAGUUUCAAAGAAUAAUAUACAAUAAAAAGAGCACAACUGUUAGAAGAAGAAGAAUCAUGGUACUUACAUGUUCAAGCCUUGAAGUUUUGGAGAGAAAAGAAUUGUUUUUGCUUUUCAAAAUGAGAGUGGGUAGUGAUUUUGGUCAAAAGGGGUGAUGUUUUCAGUGGAUGAGAAGAUAUGGGGAAAUCUACUUUUAAGGAUUUUAUCCCUUAGUCAUCCAUAUGGUAUGCCAACUGGGCGCUAGGAACCUAGAAUGGGUGAAUAGGUGUAGCAGAUCACUAAUCCUGGUUUUCUGAUUUAUGUGUAUAACAGAAAGCUGCUACAGUUAAUCGAUUAUUAUUAGGGUUAAUCGAUUCUGCUGAUUCUUGAUCUCUUUGGAAAACAAAUUUUCUCCCUAUAAAAACAAUGAUGUUUACAAGUCUUUACUACCCUAAAUUUAUUCUUGAUUAUACUUAGAUUAUUAACACAUAGCUCAAAUCACAUAAUGCAAUUAAAACAGAAAUCAACAAAGACACAAUCGUAAAAAAGAUAGGGAAUGUGAAAGUGCUCAAGGAUUUUUAUCCUAGUUCAUUUGCGGGUCCACUUGCAAACUACAACCAGGCCUCCCCUUCUGAUCUUGGGAGAUCUUUCUUCACCAUUGGAAACAAAUGUUUGAUUACAACCACUCUUCCAAUACAGCUAGCAAGAUCUCCUUCUUGAACGUGUUGAGCCUACACACUUGGUUUGACCACACUAUAUGCCUACUAGGAUACCACACCAUUCGCAAAUCUGGCCUUAGGAGAAGUAUCGCUUGAUCCAAGACUUCCUGCUCCAUGAACACAACCAAUUCUCUAAUGUGAUGAUAAUAACACACCACAAGAACAAUCCUUGUAUUAUAGAAAAUUGUCGAGUUAUUUACACUUUUAAUGUGUGGAUAAAACUCUAAUAUCGGCUCUACAACCCUCUAAAUAAAUAUCACAAACAACCGUAAACUAAAUGUGAAGUUUUUGCAGGGUUUUUCAAAUAAAUGAAUAAUAAUAGCACUUUGAAAAUAAUUUCUCUCUCUUCUCUCUUAGAAAGCUAUGCAAGAAAUCUUUUAAAGAUAAGCAAGAUGCUUUUGAAAAUUCAGCUAUAAGAAUCUUGGAUUUUUUUCUCCCAAUGUAAGAAUGAAAUUGAUGAACGUGCUUAUGAAAAAAAUUUAAUCGAUUAUGUAACUAUUUAAUCGACUAACGUGCUUAUGAACAAUAGUUGUUUAGUAAUGGCUCAAUCGAUUAUUAAUCUCUUUAGUCGAUUAAUAAGAUAGAAUCAUGGGAGGUUAGCUACUAUAACUCCUUUUAAUCGAUUACAACAUUUCUUAAUCGAUUAACGGAUUUUAACAAGAUAUAAUCCAUUAUCAAUGAAGUUAAUCGAUUAAUAUAUAUUGAAAUAGUUUUCCCUAAUGCAUGGUAAGCAUGCAACACAUGAUUUUGAAAUAGAAGAUCCUUCUAUGCACAAAAACCAUGUAUGCCUAAUGCAAAUGCAUGAAUCUUAAUUAUCAUAUAUAUAUAUAUAUAUAUAUAUUUACCUAACCUAGACUCAACACUAGGCAAACAUCUAAGGACUCUAAAAUAAUAAAAUAAUCCUAAGUUCUACGAUGUUGACCUUGAGUCUUCGGCAUGUUGUUUGUGGUGAUGUCCAUAUCUUCAAGCUUCCUUUUAACUCCUUGUCUUCAUCAAAACUAAGUAGGUCAAUCUUGAUGGCAUCCUUUGACUAUUUGCCAUUUCAAUCUUCCCCUUUUGAUUAUGACAAACUCUAAAAAAAUCUCAUGUUUGAUGGCUUGAUGCUGGACAAAAUGUGUUUGCAAUGGUUGAAUCAGAAUGCGCUGCUCCUCCUCACUUUGUUCUCGCCCUCAAUCCAUGUAAUAGGUGAUACAAGGGUAUCAUUUCAAGAUUAAUUGCGGAAGUUUAAUGCAACCUGCAAAACAGCUCAAACAUCAUUUUCUCCCCCUUUUGGCAUGAACAAAAAGCUAUGAUAUUAUAUGAUAAUAAUAGCCAUAAGCAAGGAAAUAUUUUUCUAAAAAAGUACUGGUCUUAAUCUAUUGAACAAUCAAGGAUAAUCGAUUAAGAAAUAUAAAAAGAAUUUACAAGUGCACAAUUUAUAUCAUUAAUCAAUUAUAUGCAUGGAGUUAAUCGAUUAUAUAGUAUAAAAUCAGAUUAUGGCAAAAAUGAAUUGCGAGAUAUAUCCAUUUGUGAGAUUUGACAAGUAUAGAAUAAAAUGAUUAAUGGUAUAUAGGAUAAAUCACAUAAUGCACAUAUUAACCAUUCAAUUUAAAGUAGUACGUAAGAAAUCACGCAAUAAUUCAUCCAUAACCAAAGUUAAGAACAAAGUUACAAGAAAUUAGAAAUCAAGUACUUCAAGUACAUAAGAAGUUCGAAACAAAUUACAACCAACAAAAAAAUAUAAUCUCAAAAACAUACACACACACCCUAGAAUCUAGAAAAUCUUAUCUAGGCUAUUCCUGAGGUGGUGGUGGUGAUGAUGGGUAGCCAUGUGUGGCACGCACAAUGAAGAUGAUGCGGUCAAGCUCCAUCGAUAACCUCUCUUGCUGCUGUUGGAACUCAGCUGCCAUAGAGUCUCUCAAAGAUUGAAAGUGGCCAUCAAUUCGUGCAUUUAGGCACUAUUCCAUACAACUCAAGUGUGAAAGCCCAAAAGAUGGUUCUUGUGGCACAACAUCUGCCUUAGUUUGUGGUUGCUUAGAGUUUGGCUCACGCGGAUUUUCAGCAAUGUCUUUAUCAAGUAAGUCUUCAUUCAUAUUGGCAUUAUGACCCUCUGGAUAUUACCAUACAUUUCCAAACUUGUAUAUGCCCAUCUUGUAAAUAAGGUUGUCACUGACAAGGUGCUCUCGUGAAUUUGUAGUCAUUGUAUCCACAUCUAACGUGUCGAUUUCAUAAUAUUCAAUGACAUGGGAGAUGAAAAUCCCAUAGGCAAGCAACCUUGAUGAAGAAGAAGCUAUUCCAUUCAUAACCUUCAUGAUUUCAGAAGGCCAAUUUACUACAAUACCUUCACUUAUGGUAAACAUUAGCUUGAGAUUGUUGAUUAUAGGUUGAGCAUGGUUCGUGUUUCUUUGAACUAAAAUAUACGAAAUCAGAUAAUGCAAGAGUCGAUUUCAACGGAUAAUGAUCCAGCCUUGGUCAAUUCUCCUUGUACAUACAAGUGAGGUCCUCUUAAGCAUGACUUACACAUUUGAAUAACAUCGAAUGAGUCCCAUAACUCAUUGUUUCAAUCUCCUAGCAUGGAUCAAUACUUGGUAGACCACCAACAUAUAGAAAUAAUUCCUCAUACAAAACUAUCAUUUUCUCAUUACCAUCGAUGCAUAAAUCCCAUCCUUAUAUCUAAAGUUACUGUAGAAUUCUCGAAUGAGCGAUGGAUAAAUUUUACCUCUUGACCUUAACAUUUUUUCAUGAGUUGGUGUUGCAACUGAUUCUUUCUUGGGUAGAACUAAGAUGGUGGUUUAUGAGGAUUGUCUUGCCUCCGAGGCCGAUUUCCUUGAUAUUGAUUAUUAACCCUACCCCUUGGGUAAUUAUUCUGAAAGUUUCGUCUCAGAGUAUUGGUAAAAAGUGGCCUUCCUCAUUUUGGGGUUGACAAUGGCCUAUUUGCUGCUCAUCAGCACAUUUAUCGUGCCUAAAAACCUACUUCUUUGAAGCUUUGCUGAUUUGUCUGGGCAGAUCAUGGAGCUUUUGGGUCACUUCAUCUAGUUGUUGUUGAAAUAGUUUAUGUUCAGCCAAGACAACUUCUGUUUGUAACAUCCCUCCUUUCACCACCUUGCUUAGAUAGACAUAGAACUAUAUAUACAUAUAUAUAUAUGUGUGUGUGUGUGUGUGUAUAUGUGCGCUUAUGUAUAUUAUUAUAUUUUUUUAUAAUAGAAUGAUAUAUGUUUAAUAGUUGCCUCGAAAAUAAAAGUUAUUAGAAUACGAACUAACUUACUUGGAUAACAAGUAAUUACGUGUAGAGUUAUGUUAAAAAUUAUUAAUUAGAUAGUUUCUUUAUGUAGAUAAAUAUAUCUUAGUUAUUAAUAUAGAAUUGAGAUUAGAAUUGGGUUUAGAAUGAGAAAAUUAAGUUAGUUUAGUUUAAUAGUCAAAGCUGUCCAACUUUUGAACUUUAAUCAUUUUUGGGUUAAUGUAUAAUCUUAGAAUUAUGAUAGAAUUAGUCUAAAUGACAACCUGACCUAUUAGAUUUUUAUAAUAGCUUUUUUAAUAUUAUGUUUUGAGAAUAGGAAGUUAACAUCUUAGUGUUUACUAUGAUAAAUAACUUAGUUAAAGAGUUGCUAGAGAAAGUGUUAGUUUUAAUGUACCUUUGAACUAGAUUGCCAAGAAGUACAUGUAAUCUUUUCUGUCAGUUAUUUGAGUGCUUGAACUAUCAGCUUUACUCACCUAGACAUUUUUUAAUAUUGUAUUAAUAUGUCUUAGAGUACAAGAAAACACAUCUAUGCAUUAUACCAAGUGCCCAAAUCGAAUUCAACAAACAUUACCAUGCCAUGUGUUUAGUUCUUAUCAAGCCACCUAAUCCAUGAGUUGGUUGCCUGAUGGUCACAAAUAAAAAUAUCCUAAUCUACUAACUCCAUCCCUCAUCAUCUAUAAAUAUCCCAUAGGGGCUGAAGCUCGCCUCAUUUUAUUCCACCCAUCUCACAAAAUCAAAGCAAAAAUCAUCUCUUCCAUUUCUUCUCUUGUGUGUCGGCUUUGAAGCCAAAGGAAGGAGGUCCAUUUUUAUCUUCUCAAUCUUGCAUGAAAGCUAAUCCACUUCUCCUAUAAGGUAUCUACAUCAUAUCUAUGGUUUCUAUCUUCCAAUUCUCGGGCUUUGUUAGUUGUAUUUUCUAUUAGGAGUCAUGAACUCAAAUGGUGCAACAAUGGGUUUUAGUGUAGGUUUUGCUUGGAAUUCCUUCGAGCUUUUCUACAAGGACCCUACUCUACUAAUUUUAGGUAAGGAGAACUCAAAUGGAAUCUCUGAUUUACAAAAUAAUGACAUGCAAAGACUGUUCUUGUUGUUUUAAAAUUUUGCGCAAGUGUGGUUAGGGAAAUCAUGUAUGAUUGUUGUUGUUGUUGAGUUGUAAGCUUAUGAUUGUGUUAGAAAUGGUACAUCUAUGCUUAGAACUACUUGCAUUUUGGAAAUAUUUUGUGUGCAGGUCUCUAUGUCUCAAAAAUUGGUGCUCUAAGGGUCUCUAAACCCAACCACCUUCUUGUGUUGUUGUUACACUAAAAAGGAUGCUCUAAGUGUCAUCUCUUGUCCUAGAAUUGCUUGGGAUUGAAGUUAAAACCCUUGCAUGUGCUCUAGAGUUUUUAGCAUUCUGUAUCUAUGUUAGUGAACUCCUCUCAAGGACUGGAAUUCGAAAAUUUAGAAGACUUGAAAGCCAUGCAAUUGAUCCUAAGUGUUUAAGGGUUAAAGAAACUCUAGAACCUUACUUCUUUGAUAACUUGAGUUCCUAAAGUUCAAAUUUGACAUAUGACAUAUGCAUGUGUUCAAUUUAAUUUUCUAGCCUAUUAUGAUCUUAUUUAGGGACAAGGAUUCGGGUUCAUCACUGAAUGAGGGUAAAAUCGAAAAACAGUACCCAAGUCACAAUCAAAACUAUCCAAUUUUAACUAUGUGUUAGCCGAUGUUUCAAAUUAUCUUAUGGUCUAUAAAUUCUGAGUUUGUUUGAGCCCAAACAUGUCAAACUCAAUUCUUCCCUAUGAAGUUUAACAUGUGUCUCAAGUUAGAUAUUUUUUUGAAAUUAUUCUGAUGUUAAUCCGAGCCUCAUAAGUCAAAUUCUGAGUAUUAAAUCAACUUUGUCACUGAAAUAUUUUUGUACCUGACCAAGAUCAUAAAUGUAUCCAAAUGAAAUAUUUGGAUAUGUUAUAAUGUCUAGAGCCUCAUUAAGGUGUUUUCCUGUAUAAUUUGAAUAAUCCAGUGAUAUAGAAGUUAAUCGUUUAAGAUAUAAUCAAGUACUCGACAUUCAGGAAAUCUGCGACAGAUGAAAUAUUAAGUUCAAAAAGGGUAAAGGUAUGGAGAGAAGUGUCUUUAUAUAGGAGUUUAGAAAUGAUGCUAAAGAUAUCCGUGCAUCUCUAAGCUAGGCCAUAUUCAGAUAUAGUCGAAUACUAUUUCUGUGGCCGCAAACAAUUGAGUAGUGAGACUUAGUUGUUCAUAAAUUAAUUUAAUUCUUAACUAUGAUUGAUAUGUUUGCAUUAAGUGGUCAAAUGGAAUUGAAUGAUCAUGUCUGUUGAUAUAAAUGAUUAUUAUGACUGAAAAUUGAUUACGAAAGUACUGAGUUAAUUGAAUAUUUUGUUGAAUUCUGAAAUAUAAAAUAUUGUUGAGUUGAUUAUUGAACUCUCAUCAAGCAUUUUCAUGGCAUAGCAUAUGGACAUUCUUGAUAGAACUUAAAGAAUAAAGACUUGUUUUAUGAAAUAUUUGACAAAGGAUGAAGGAGAAACAUUUUUCUGAAUUUUCUCGGAACUGGCGUAUUUUUUCAGUUAAUAGAAAAUCCUUUUGAUCAGUAAGCCAGUGAGUUUGACCUUGAUGAAAAUGUCAUAAUUGAAUUUCAACAAAAAAUGUUUUGUUAUUACCCUAAAAAUGUUUUCCCUUGAUUUUUCUUUUCUCUAAAAACGAAAAGUUAUGCUUUGUAUGAAUCAGAAUAUUCAUGUCACUAUGUUUAUUGUUGUAACAUAGUCUACGGGAAGAUAUGUCACUGAGAUUGUAUUGAGAACCCAGAGGGGUACCUUGUAUCUAUGACUUUGUUGAGGGGACAUUCUGGGUAGAGAUAUUUUUCAAGAAUAAGGUAGCUCCUUUGAACCGAUAGAACUCUUUGUAGUAACUACAAUGACCUUUGACACCCCCUUGAAGGUAUCAUGCUCAGGAUGACGCAACAUUUAUCUUUGUUGGUCGGUGGGUAUUCCGGUGCUAUUGAGUGCACGAUAGUUAUAUGCCUUUUGGUUACCAAUGGUGAGCACGACACUGUAUUCGUUAUGUUCACUUUCUAAGAAUAACAAAUGGCUGAUCAGGCUCGAUUAGUCGGUACCAUUGCUGUUGAUGUAUUGUUAAGGGCCUAGUUAGGAGACAUUUUCUCCAUGCAUUCAUCUAGAGAAUAAUGAGUCUCAUCAGAUUAAUGAGUGUAUUCAUCACUACAUCAUGCUCAUACAUAUGAUGAAAUUGUCAUAUUGAUACCUGUAUGAUAUGUUUUAUGUUAUGACAUUAUUAAUUGUUAAUUGUUUAUCUUAUAUAGAGAUACUUACUCUUCAAUCUCACAUUAAAGGUAGUGCUGGACUUGGAGGCUUCUUUUGUGACUCCUCCCUGUCGAAUAGAGAUCAUACCUCUCCCACCGGGGGAGGUUGAGGUGGAACGGUAUAGGGUGAUGUAUAGGGGGAUAGAGAGAUCAUGUGUUCAUACCUAGAUAUGCAUAAAGUGAUACCCCGCCGCCGGUCUACCUUUCCAGCGGUCUAUAUCAUGCAUGUACCAGACAAUUAUGAGUUACGACGCAUACCUCUUCCUGCUCCUACCAGGUAUAUUCCUUCUCCUACAACUCCUCUUGUCCUGUCUUCUAGAUCCUCUCAUGCCCGUAGACGUAGGUUGAGCCAUUUUGGUGCACAUUUAGAGCCUCAACCAGACGUUCUUCUAGGGGACCACCUGUGACCCUGACUAGUCGUACUAAGACGACUCAGGGAUUUCAGACUUGCUAGUGUUUUUGGUGUCUUCCUUUACAGGAGAGUCAUAGGGAUUCACCCGCUACUAUUUUAAGAGAGACUCCGGAGUUUACUCUAGGAUCCUCUUUUCAUAAGGUACGUGGGAUAUUUCAGGAUGACGGGGCUGAUAUUCGUGGCACGGUAAAGAUGGCCUGACUAUCUCCUUCACCAUCAUACUCCCCUGCACCCGUUGAGCCUAUGGUUAGGGAUGAUAUUAUAUAUAUUUCUAUUGAUGAUGAGGAUCUAGAGGAGGACCCUAAGGAGGGUAGUGUUGGAGGACAGUAGCUUGAGAAUGUUGGGUCGAGAUUUUGACGGUUCGUUUGUAUAUUGUAUUGUCGUAUAAUAUUUUGGUGCAGUUGUAGAGAGUUUAGUGUACACCCAACUAUAGAACCUUUAUGCUUGUGUAUAUUUAUGUAUAUAUAUAUAUAUCCUAUUAUGAUGGAGUGUAUAUGUUGAUGGUAUGACUCUGGAUGGUGUACUCUUUCCUUGACUAUGAUGCUUCUUUGAACUGAUGAUGUAUAUAUAUAUAUAUAUUUAGAGUACUAAGAGAGUUCUUUAUUACUCAUAAUUAUGCUGAUAUAUAUAUCUUAUGUUUAUUAUGUUAUGUAUUGUUGUUUAGAUUAAAGUUUUAAGUGGUGAGUCCUGAGAGAACAAGGCUCAUGUUAUAAAAAAAAUUAUACGUUAUUUUCACAAAUGAAAAAUAUAAUUAACCAAAAACGUAAAUGACGGUCUUGUAUGUAAUUGUUUUAACAUUAAGAAAAAGGUGUUACACUAUUGGACUCAAUUCAAGAAUUCCACGUCUCCUUGGUGGUGGUCCAGUCCUGACUUUUUUGAUCAUUUAAGGCCAUGGAUUCAAUGAUAUCAAUAGCCUCCUGUGGGGAUUUUGUUAAUAGAUGCCCCCUGAAGUUGCAUUUAGAAACCACUUAUGUUGAUGCUGUAAUGUAUUUAUGAAGAUAUGGAUUAGGAUCUACAUAUAGAACCCAUGGUUUUGACAUUUUCUUCACAUCGACUUAAAUCUAUCCCAAGAAUCGUAGAAACUCUCACGAGUUGGUUGCACAAAUAUUGAGGUAGUUGUCUUCAAAUCCAUGAACUUGCCUUGCGGACAGUGUUUAUGCAUGAAUGUUUCCUCCACCAAUUUCCAUUUAUUCUGCAUAUGUGGGCGUAGAUCCAGAAACCAGUCCUUUGCAUUUCCAAUAAGAGUUAAAGGAAAAAGCCUGAGAAAUAAGAUCUCCUCUUUUUCUUCAGAAAUUCUGGCAGUUCCGACCAAUUCAUAGAAUUUUGUAAGAUGAUUGUAUGGAUUUUCAUGAUCGAAACCAGCAAAAGGACUGACAUACAUUAGCUAGACCAAUCCAUACUUCAUUUCAGGUGGUUUUUGGUUGCUAGAUGGCAUGUUUAUCCUAAUUAUGUUCUAAGGUGUAAAACUGACAAAGCCUCCAACAUUGGGCUGGUUCUCAGCCCCUGAACCAUCAGCAAAUUGUUGAGUGUUGGCCAUUAGUACUUGUGAAGAUUCUACUUCCUUCCGAAUAGACUGUGCUUGGUUUGUUUUCUUUGUGCUUUCUAUUUUUUUGUUAAUGUUUUUUCUAGCUCCAAAUCGAGAGAAAGUUGUACUUGUUUGUUCCUGAAAUACUUGUUUGAAAGAUUUGUAAUUUACUUUUUUAUACAAAUUGAAAAUCAAAUUUGUACAAAAAGUAAAAAGAAAUUUUUUUAUGCACAAUCGUUAAUAAUAUAAUAUGCUAUAUAAAAAUAAUUUCUAUUAUUAAAGAAAUUCCAUCACUUAAGGUUGCAAGUAUUUAUGAUUGGAGUAUGAAUAUUUUAUUGAGUGAUGACUUUAUUUUUUUACUCCCUUUUGGGUUCCAUUUAACCAUAUCAUAAAAGGUCAAUUUCAUUUUAUUAAGUUAAUCAUACCAUUUCUUAUGAAAGGUUGGUAUCAAAGAAUAAAAGAAUAAAGUUAGUAGUUUAGCGUACCACUUCUUGCGAAGGGUUGGUCUCAUAAUAAAAUGUACCAUUUCUUUCGGAAGGUUGGUAUAAAGAAUAAAAGAAUAAAGCAAUAAAUAAAUUGUUAGAUGCAGAAAAAAGUAUAUGACUGGAUGUAAAUAAACAAAAUAAAGAGUUAGUAGUUAGUUGUGAAAUGUAAAUUACAGAAAGUAAAUGUUAGUAACGGAAAAUAAAUGAGAAAAAGUAAAUAUUAGCGGUUAGAUUUAUUAGUUCGUCACUCUUUUAUUGUCAAGUAAUAAUUCAUUGAUUGAAUUGCAAUUUUUGUAUGUUGUUUCUAUUCACAAAGUUACAAAUCAUGAAUUGAUGUGCAAUUUUGUUAAUAGACUAUGUUUUCAACAAAUAACACUUUACUAUAUUUUACACUUGUAUCUCUUUCAGGAUUCAAUUGUAGUAUAGUAUAGUAUUGGUUUAUGUUGUUGCAUAAAAUGACAAUGAUGUAAACUAGUAUUUACAAAUUCUUAAGGAGAAGUUAUGGUUGGAAUGAUGGAAUUAUUUCUUAACGUAAAUAAUUUUGAAAAUUGUAUGCAUGUUAUGUGUUGUACUUUGGUUGAUUUCAUACACCAUGUCUAAAUCUUCCACCUAGUGUCCUGAAAUAGUAAAGAUGAUUUUCAAACCUUGUAUAAUACACUAAAUAUUAAUUAACUGUCACUCGUCAGAGUAGGUUGUCUCACCCUACUUCAGGCUUCGUUACCAUUAUUUAGCCUUGAAAUCAAGUUUCUUAAAAUAGAUGUUUGGAUAUGGCAAGUGAACUAAUGUGUAGGUUAUACUUGUUAGUUCACUUGUCAACACUUUAAGAAGAAGCAUGUUUUUUAUCUUUAAAUCAAGUUUUAGGUGAUCAAUCUAAGAUCGCAUUAGGAACUUCUCAAAGAAUCAAUAACAACCAAAAGUAAUUUCUUGAAUAAAUAGAAAUCAAAAGAUGAUACAAAUGAAGUAAAGAAAUAACAUUACACCAUAAUCCAAAUCAACAUGUAGGAGCCUUAAGUAUCUAUCUAAUGAUGAGAUGCUUUUGGAUCCAAAUGCGAUUACAAAAUCAACUUUUGUAUCAUAUUUGUAAACUCCCUUGUCCUCUUGAAUUCGAAGAAGAAAUUACAAGAAUUGAAGUACCUAAAAUGCUUGGAACCGUGGUCCCAAGUGUUACAAAAUGAGAGAAUUUGUUAGAGACGAGUUUUUGUGAAGAAGAGUAGUGAAGAAUGAAUGUCUUGAAUGCCAUCAAGUGCCUCCUAUUUAUAGGCUUCUUCCCACCACCUAGCCUUGGUUUUCCCACGCCAAGCUGGUGACCAAACCCUUCUUCAUGGAUUUGGUCACUUGGUCAAGUAGCUUAGUGAGCUUCUUGGCGCUGACUCACCCAAGCUAUGGUGAGCUACUUAGACCAACUAGGGUGAGUUAUCUCUAAAAAGCUGAUUGAGGCCAUGUGAAAUGAGGUUAUGCAUAAGGUAAACCUUGCUUGAUUGCUAAGUCAACUUGGCCAACUUGUUGGGUGCACAUAGUCAGGCGCCUAUGUGACACCAUUGAGCUGCCUGCUUGAGCAGGUUGACGUGGCCAUGUUAGUGCUUGUUGUUGAGUUGGUUUGGUGCUUGUCCAAUCUGGCCAUGUGUUUAGUUCCAUGUUGGGUGGUUAUAGUCGACGCUAAGCGUCUCAUUGAGCACUUGGCUUGUGACAUACUUGUGUCUGACUGUUCCAAGUUGAUGGCCAGGUCACGCUAGGCAUGCCUUUGGUCAAUGCCAGGCUGCUUAGUGAGCAAGUUCAUGUUGUUAAGCAAUGCGUAAGGUUAAGUACCCAACUUGCCAUGUGCACAUAAAUUUGGCCUAUGUUGACACCUCUUGACUUUAAUUUUCUCUUGGUAUAUUAUACUAAUUAUUAGUUAUGAAAUAUUAGAUAUAAAGUAAAAGGAAAUUAUUUUAUUUUAUUAUUAAACAAAUAAUUUUAAUCAAAAGAAAUUAAAAUAUAAUAGAUAGAUGACACAUUAUAGAAAUAUCAUUAAAAAGUUAAAAUAGAAAAAGGGAAAAAGCGAGAUCAUGGAAACUCAAGUAUGUGCUUAGCACAUUGCUUUUUGCUCAUAGCAAGAAUAGGAUUCCACAAAGUGGAACAACCAAGCUCAACACAAAUACUCGAAAUUAUCUAAUUCUAAAUAAAAUGGUUAGAGAUACGACAACUGAGAAUAUGAUAAAAAAAAAGAAGGAAGUGAUCAACAUUAAUGAUGUAUUUUAUUUUGGAUGAUAAUGUGUGAAAUACAAAGUGCAACAACCGAGCUCAACACAUUCCUUAGAUGGUAACAUGUGAAAUAGAACGUUUAAUGAUGUAUUGUAUUUUUUACUGCAGGUAUGCAUGAGUGAAUAACUGAAUUAAUGAGUAAGUAGGUAUGCAUGAGUGAAUAACUGAAUUAAUGAGUAAGUUGAUAAAUAGGUGAUAAUAAUGCAAAACUCAUGCUCUUUUUGGUAAUGAAUCUCAUUUUUUGGUGUUUUAUCCUUCACUAUGAGUGAUAAAGUAUUGGGAUGAAAUUGUAAUGAGUAGUUUAUAUAUGUAAUAUGAAAUAAGCUUUCUAUCUUAUAAGCUCGUAUACUACCUCAAAAAUCAUAUUAAACAAAAGCUUAUAUUAAUAUAAAUCCAUUUACCAAGUAAGAAUAUGUAGUUGAAUAAUGCUAUAUGUACAUUAAAAUUUGAUGAAAUUAAAAUGACCAAUAUUAUUAUCUCACCUUUUUCUUUGAAUAGAAAGAGUGUUAAUGAUAACUUUCAAUGUACAUAUAUUAUUAUGGGAUGUAACUUGUUUUUAUCAAAUAUAACAGGUGCUAUAAAACACAAUAUACUUAAACUUCCAUAAUGUUCGGCAUGAAAUUAUUCUUUCCAAUGGUUUGUUUAUGAGUUGGAUUUUAGAGGGAAUGGACUUGAGAGUUACGUAAUACAGUUGCAUGAUAGCUUUGAAACAUUUUCUUCAUCCUCCUCUAAAAGUCAACUCCCAAACCAAUCAUUAAAAACUAGAGAUUCUAUGUUAUAAUAGAAAUCUUGAGCCCUCAUUAUUUCACCAUCAAUAAAAAGAAACGACAAAUUCCAAAUCUCCUUAUCCUUUAUUCCUUUGAAAUUUGACAAAUGUUUUGGUUUUAUAUAAUUAGUUGUUACAUUAUACCCAUGUUUAUAUUUUCGGGAAGUUUUACAUUAAAUAUUUAGAACAUUCAUUUGGGUUGUAAUAUGGCCUUAAAGGAGGAGACGUUUUUAAUUAUAGCCAUGUGCAAUGGAACUUUAUUACCAUAUGUAAACGAGUACAAAUGAAUGUGGACUUGGAAUAAUUGUCCAUGAAGACCAGUCAAGAGUUAUGGCAAAUUCUUACCAUAUGAGGAAGGGCGUGCAAGUAAGGACGGAGGAUUUCAAAUUCAAACAUGAAUUCUUCUCCGUUAAGGAGGUGUGUAGUAUGAUACAAAGUUAGCAUAUGAAGAUCAAAGUCAUUUUUCGAUCAUCAAAUCAAGACGAAUUCUUUCCAUAUUCAAAAUAUGGCAUAAUUGAGACUUGCCAUAUGAAGCCAAGGCCAUGAAUCAUCAUCAAAUCAAGAGGAAUUUUUUCCAUAUUCAAAAGGUGGUAUAAUUGAGACUUGCCAUAUGAAGCCAAGGUUAUGAGUCAUCCUCAAAUCAUGAGGAUUUCUUUCCACAUUCAAAUAAGGAAUGAAUGAGACUUACUAAAUGAGAACCCUAGGCCAUGUAAUCAUUAUCAAGUCAAACAAAAAUCGUUCCAUACGAAGCUAAUCGUGAAAAACAAGGAUUGACAUUUCAAAUCUUACUAUACAAGCACUAGGCUGGUCAUUUCCUUUCCAUAAUGGUAGCCUCGAUUUAAGUUUGCAUUCAAAGAAGAAUUCAUGGGAACAAACCUUCUCAUUCUAAGAAUACAUUGUACUUAGUCUUUGUCUAAGUUUUGGAAAAGCAAAGUAGUAGGAAAUUCACUCAUUAAUGUAUUUUGAUUCCUAUUAGCACGUGGAGCCACAUGUUGGCAAGCGACCACUAUUUGUUACCACAUUUAUCAUGAGUAAUGCAAGUUUGAAUUUAUUUGGAAAAUAUUUCAUUCUAGUUGAGAAUUUAUCCUACCUUCUUGGUUGAACCAAGGCCCCGUCUAUCAAGGAUCUAUCCUUGUUGUGAACUCCAUUGCCUUAACAAACACCAAGCUUGUGGCGCCUUCAUCCUUUCAUUUUCUAUCCAUCUUAUUUUAUCAUACACGACUCACCCAUACACAACCUACUCAAACUCAUUCCAUUCCUAACAUUUCAUUCAUAAAAACCGAAACCAAAUACAUACAAAAUUCAUUCACAAAUUCAAAAGGACGUACAAGCAAGAACGAUCAACAAAAAAAUAAAAACCCUGUCAAGGAGGUUUCUAUCAUUAAAUAUAUGAGAAUAUGCACAAAGUCCCUAUAAACUUUAUGUCUUUUGUCAAUAGUCACCAUGAACUAUUGUUUCUUCCUAAUUACCCUUUAAAGUUUAUCAAUUUGUAAAUUGGUCCCUAUAUAAAAAUAUUGUUAAUUUUCUAAUAGGCCAACAAAUAUAUAGCAACAAUUAGACUCACUACAAUAAUAAUAUAACAGUGUAGGUCAGCAAAUGUUGACAUUUGGAUGAAAUGUCAUCAACAUACAAAGCUUAUUGAGAAGAAGGUAAGUAUAUUUUAGAGUUAAAAGUUGUUAAUAGAAUAAUAUUUGUAUAAGAAAUUUAUAAAUAUCUAGCCAUCGAGAUUAAAAGAAAAUGCAUAGAUUAGAAUUUUUGAUUGCUAUUAAUUAAACAUUAUCUUUAUAUCGAACCAAUUUUACCAAUAGUUAAAUUUUAAGGGGUAAUUAUGAAUAAAAAGUAGUUGAUGUUGUUUACUCGCAAAAUACAUAAGUUUAGGAUGUGUGUGUUGCAUCGUUCCAGACUUCAAGGUAAGAAACAAUUCUAAUCAUUAAUGUUGUUUCUACCAUCUCUUACGACAAGGUUCACGACCAACGAUACAAUUUUUUAUUAACCUCUUCCAUAAACACUUUAGAUUAAUUAUUUAAAAAUUAACUAAUUUUUUAAUUCAUAAGAUACUCCUAUUAAUUAACUAUACAUAAAUGUUGUAACAACAAGUCUAAAAUUAUCUUUUAAUUAUACAAUUAAUUACAAAAAUAGGAAUUUAAUAGGGAGAUCAUAACUCAUGUUAUAUCUUUUUUUGCUUUAAGUUGAGAAGUAAUUAUAGCUAUUAGUAUUACCUCUAUAAUCUGACGAGAAAGGAAUAAAUAUUAUGGAAUAUGUUUUGUGAAUUAAAUUGAGAAUUGGAUGAACAAUUGCAAUUAGUAAAGUAUCAUUUUUCCAUUUGAAAAGCAUCAUAGUAAUUAGUACUUCCUCUGUCAUCACUCGAAUUAGGGGUGACCUAUGAUCUGCUACUUUACUUUCAACCUCAAUUAAUUAAAAUUAAAAAAAACAUCAUUCAGUUUUCUAUCCUUAACUAUAUAAUUUUAAUUUUCAUAUUAGACCUAGGGAUACACGUGAAUAAGAUAAACUUUUUCCAGACAUAAUAAUGAAAAUAUAUUGUCUCAUCUAUUGUUUUAAAAAUUAUUUAUUUAAUAAUAACCAAAAAAAUAAUUAUUUGUAUAAUUAAACAGGUUUAGGAUAUAAAUCUCAUAAACCUAUUAACUCACAAAUUGGUUGUUGGAUUAACCCAAUGUAAAUCUCAAAAAAUGUAUAUUGGUAUCAUAUAUAGAAAGUUGUACAUUUAAAUUCCUCUCAUUUAUCUUUUUUUCAGAAUUAAAGGUCAAUGAUGAGAAUGUAUAUAUAACACUACUCAACUACAUAUUGUUAAUCGAUAAAUGGAUUUAUAAUAAUAAGUUACGAGAAUAUUCGCUCUUAUUAUAUGGUUAUGUCGAACCAAAGAGAAUUGCAUUAGAUGAAAAUUAUAUAGGCAUAUUAUAGCAAAAAUAAUGAUUAACAACUUUUUGAUGAUUGUGUUAUGUUGCAUAAAAGUUAACUAAGAAAACAUAAACAAAUAUUCACAAAUUCUUGAGGAGAAGAUUGGUUUGAAAUAUUUCUAUACUGAAAUGAUUUUUGAAAAUAUUAACAAGUUAUAUGUUAUACUUUUUGAUUAAUUCCACACAUCAUUUUUAAAUCCCUAAUAAGUGCCAAAAAUGUCUAAAAUUCAUAUACUUUUUGUGGCACUUAUCAUUGGCAAAAUUGAGAAAACCAACUUAAUUCAACAUUUUUUGGAUAAAAUAUCACAAUCUUGUAUAUAUGCUUUGUGUAUUUCUUUUGUAUUAUAUUUUGUAGGAUUUAGGUGGAAAAGAGAAGAAUUAAUCAAAUUCAAGAAAAGUGCUUAAAAUAGGCCAAAAUGAUCCACAAAUGACAUUCAUGCACCAGGCCACAUCACCAUCAACAAGGUCAAAUCUGCUCAAGAAUGCAGCUUAGCGGUGCCACAUAGGCGCUUGGCGGUGUGCACCCAGCAACUUGGUUAAGUUGACAUAGCCACCAAGCAACCAUGAUCUCAUGCAUGACCUCACUCCAAGUAGUCUCCAUAAGCUUUUCAGAGGUAGCUCAUAAUAACUGGGCCAGUAGCUCAUAACAAGCUUGGGUGACUCAACUCCAAACAGGUGACUAAGCUGCUUGGCUAUGACCAAACCCUUGCUGAAGGUUUGGUCAGCAGCUUGGCGGUCAAGGAGAGGAGCUUGGCGAUUGGAAUAAACUCCUAUAUAUAGGAGGCACUUCAAAGACUUAUGACAUUCAUUCAUACAAAUUCUCAUAUACACUUCCAUUCCUCAUACUCUCUCUUAACCGAAUUCUUCUUUUCUUGUAAUUUUCUUGGAGAAUUUCUACUCCAAAGUAGUUUAGGUAAGUUUAUUUUUUUAGUUUUUUAUUAAUUCAAGAGGAAAAAUGAGAUGGAAAAUGAGAUACGAAAACAUAAUUUUGUAAUCUCAUUUUGGUCCAAAACUCAUCUCAUCCUUGGAUAGAUGGUUCAUGCUCCUACAAAUUGACUUAUAUUAUAGUGUAAUUUAUUUUAUCAUCUUUUGAAUUCAAUUCACUUCAAGUUAUUACUUUUGGUUAAGUUUUGAUUCUUUAUGAUGUUCUUAAUGAGGUUUUAGCUUGAUCACCUAAAACUUGAUUUAAAGAUCCAAAAUUGCUUCUUCUUAAAGUGUUGACAAGUGAACUAAAAAGUAUAACCUACACCAUAGUUUUCUUGCCACAUCAUGCAUCUAUUUUAUGAAACUUAUGUUCAAGGCUAAAUAAAGUUAAUGGAGCCUGAAGUAGGGUGUGACAACCUACUCCAACAACUGACACUUAACUAUUAUGUAGUGCAUUACAUAAUGUUUGAAAAUCAUCUUAUCAUUCUAGGACACUAGAUGAAGGAUUUAGAAAUGAUGUGUGGAACUAACCAAAAGUAUAACACAUAACUUGUAAUGUUUUCAAAAUCAAUUAAAUAGAGAAAUAAUUCCAUAUUUCCAACCAAUUUUCUCCUCAAGAAUUUGUGCAUAGUAGUUGUUUAUGUUUACUUACUUGUUAGUAAUAUAAGUUUUUUAUAAUAAUGACCUAUUAGGCAAUUCCUUGUGGUUCGACAAAACCAUAUACUAUACUACAAUAGAAUCUUGAAAGAGACGUAAACGUAAAAUAGUAAAGAGUUAACUUAUAAAUUUUAUUUGUUGACAAAGAAAUAAAUCUUGAAUCAAAGUGCAAUUUAAUUCAUAAAUUAUAUUUUUGUGCAAAGGAAAAAUACAUAGUUAUAAUGAGGGAUCUAACUAGUAACUUUUACUUUUUGUCAUUUAUUUUCUACAACAAACAUUUAUUUUCUAUCAUCUAAAUUCAACAACUAACAUUUAUUUAUUCUUCUCCAACCUUCCAUAAGCAAUUAGUUUGAUUAAUAAAGGAAAAGGAAAAUAAAUAUCACUCAUUAUUACUUGUACUAAAUUGCUAAAUUCAUACCAUUAUACCGGUGUUGGAAUUAAUCCAACAAAGCAGAGAUGGUAUGAAAAUGUUAAUAAUUCAAUAAAACUAAGUUUUUGAUUAAAGGAACAUUCUUGAAACCAUUAUAUCGGUGUUGGAAUUUAUUCCAACAAAGUCGAGAUGACGAGCAAAGAAUCGACCUGUCAUUAAAUAAAUAAAUCAGAAACUUGUUGCCUCAAAAUAAAGUAAGCAAAUAAAACUCUUUCAACAAUCCCCCAUCUAGUGUCCUAGUAUAAUAAGAUGAUUUUCAAACCUUGCAUAAUACACUAAAGAAUAGUUAAUUGCCACUCGUCGGAGCAGGUUGUCACACUCUACUUCAGGCUCGUUAACAUUGUUUAGCCUUGCAUACAAGUUGUUUAAAAUAUAUGCUUUGAAUUGGCAUGUGAACUAAGACUUAUCAGUUCACUUGUAAACACUUUAAGAAGACACAUUUUUGGAUCUUUAAAUCAAGUUUUAGGUUAUCAAGCUAAAACUGCAUGAAGAACUUCUUAAAUAAUCAAAACUUAACCAAAAGUAUUAACUUGAAUGUAUUGAAAUCAAAAUAUGAUACAAAUUAAGAAAAGAAAUAACAUUACAUCAUAAUCCAAAUCAAUGUGUAGUAGCAUGAGCCAUCUAUCCAAGCAUGUGAUGCUUUUGGACCCAAAUGAGAUUACAAAAUUAACUUUUGCAUCACAUUAGCCAACUCAUUUCUCCUCUUGAAUUCUAAGAGAAACUUACAAGAUUUACCUAGAAACUAGCUCGGAAUCAUGGCCGCAAAGUGUAACAAUUGUAGAGAGAAGUGUUUAGAGAGAAAAAGUGAAGAAUGGAAGUGUUUUUGGAAUGGUGGAAGAGGGCCUCAAUUUAUAGGCAACUAGGUCCCACGUCAGGUGCACCAAACCCUUCAGCAUGUGUUUGGUCCCUAGCCAAGAAGCUUAGUCAGUUGCUUGUUGUUGACUCACCAAAGCUACUAGUGAGCUACUUGACCAUGCUAUUGUGGGAUACUCUAAAUAGUGCUCAUAGGCCUUGUCAAGUGAGAUCAUGCAUGAUGUAAUUGUUGCUUCGUGGCUAAGUCAAGUUGACCACUUGCUGGAUCCAGCCCGUCUGGAUGCUUUGUUGGCACUACUUAGUUGGCACUGCUAAGUUGCUUGCUUGAGCAUCUUGUCCUGCUCUAGCCAGGUGUGUGGUUCCAGGAUGAGCGGUCCAGGUGCAUGCUGAGCUGCAUGCUUCAACAGGUUGGCACGUGUCAGGCUUGAGUCUGAUAGUGCCAUGCUUGUGUCCUACCAAGCCAAGUUGGUGUCAGGUCAGCUGGGUGAUCCUGGUGUCCACGUCAGGCUGGUUAUAGAGCAUUUUCAUGUGUUUAGUCCACGCUUAUGGAUAAGCACUUAGCUUUCCAUGUGUGCAUUAAAAGUGGCUUAUGUGGACACCUGCUCGCUUGACUGUUUUUCAAAUUUUUUUUUCUCUUCAUUUUCCCCCUCAAAAUUCACACAAAGAUAUGGAAAAGAGGUGGAAAAAAUAUAUAAUCAAAGUAUGAAAUUUAACCUAAAAAGUAUUGAAUUAAGUUGGUUUUGCAUGAUUUGAAUGGACAAGUGCCAUGAAAAGUGUAUAAACAUUAAGUAUAUUUGGGACUUAUCAAUCAUCAACCAUGGAUUUUUCUUCCAAAGUUAUAUUAGAUUCAUCAAAAGUUACAGGAAUAGAUUCUUCCAUGGCCACAGUUCUCUUAUUGAAAAUUCGAAAUUUUUUGCUUGUAAGAGAGUAGCCAAGGAAAAUUCCUUCACCGACUUUUGCAUCAAACUUUCCUAAGUUUUCCUUACCAUAAUUUAGCACAUAACAUUUGUAGCUGAAUACAUGCAAGUGAUAAAUAUUUGGUUUUCUACCUUUCAAGAGUCCAUAGGGGUUUUUCUUUAGAAUAGGUCUUAUUAAGACUCGAUUGGAAACAUAGUAUGUCACACUGACUGCGUCUUCCCAAAAAUAUUUUGGUAGAUUAGUUUCAUUCAACAUUGUACGUGCUAGUUCCUCCGAAGAUCAAUUAUUUCUCUCUACAACACCAUUUUGUUGUGGUGUUCUAGGAGCCGAGAAAUUGUGAGUGAUACCAUUAUCAUCACAAGAUUCCUCAAAGAUGCAUUUUGAAAUUCUCCUCCAUGAUCACUUUGUUUAGCAGUUACUUUCAAGGAUUUUUUAUUUUGCACUCUCUUAGAAUAUUUUCUAAAGGCAUUAAAUGCCUCAUUCUUGUGUACCAAGAGUAUAGUCCAAGUGUAUAUCGAAAAGUCAUCUACUAUCACAAGAGUAUAGUAGUUACCACUAAAAUGUUUGGUCUGAGAUGGGUUGAAUAAGUCCAUGUGUAGUAAUUGCAAUAGUCUUUCAGAAGAAAUCAUAUGUUUUGGUUUGAAACAAGUCUUCGUUUGUUUACCCUUUUGGCCAACAAUAUAUAGUUUGUCUUUAACAAACUUCAUAUUGGGUAAACCAACAACCAGAUCUUUCUUUAUCAGUUUAUUCAAAUGAUCCAUAUGAAUAUGAGCAAUUCUCCUAUGCCAUAGCCAUGCAUCAUGAUUAUUAAUAGCUAAACAUUUUAUGGGAAGAGUAGAAUCAAUUAAAGUAAUCAUGUAGAUAUUUCUUAUUCUCUUACUAACAAGUUUAGAGUUUUCGAGUACCUUAUUAUCAAUGAUGCAUUUGUCGGGGUAGAAAGCGACAUGGAACCCUUUGCCACAAAGUUAACUUAUACUAAGUAGGUUGUGCUUGAGCCCCUCAACAUAUAGAACUCCUUCUAUUGUAGUAGAAGGUGGUUUCCCAACUCGACCAACUCUAAAAAAAUUUCCUUUGUUAUUGUCAUCAUAUGUGAUAUAGCCUUUCUCCCUUGGAGUGAGGACAUAGAACUUUAUUUUAUCGCUCGUCAUAUUUUUUGAGUAGCCACUAUCCAAAUACCAUAAAUCACUAGUGGCUCUCAAAUACUCCCGAAAAACAAGUUAAGUGAUAUUAGGUACCCAAUUCAGUUUGGGUCCUACAUGGUUAGCACAUUUCUCUACCCAUUCAAAAUUUCCUAAGAGUAUACCAUAUUUUCUAAUCUUGCAGGUAUUAUAGGUAUGCCCAUGAUUUAGACAAUAAGUGUAGAUAGGUUGAUACUUUUGUAUCCACGAUUUAGAUUUAGCAACAUGAUGAGUAUGGAUACUUUGCUUUUGAAAAAUAAUUUUAUUAGACACCUAUUUUUUCUUAAGUGUAGAAGUUUUACAAAAACCAGAUCUCUACAAUUGGUGGAGUGUCUUUGUAUUUUCAGCAUGUUAUCCAAUUUUGUACUACUCUUAUUGAGAUUUUUGAGUUGAAGACUCAAUGUGGAAACUAUAUUUUCAAUAGUAAACAAUUUGGACAAGAGGAACAAGAAAAUUUAUUACUGAAUGCAUCAAUCUCAGUUUUUUGUUUAAAAUACAUUUAGCAAGUUUGACAUAUUCACUAUGUAGUUCAUUGAAAGCAUUUUGUAAUUCAGAAAAAGACGGCUUAUCAAAAGCUUCAGUUUCGCUUACCUCAUCAUCAUCAGAAUGUUGAGAUGCUAUUUGAGAGAGAUGAGCCUGCUCUUCACUUUCUGGUUCUGAAGUGGAACUUGAGUCAUUAUUCUCCCGUCUACCGAUCUUUUUUUCAGGUUUUGCCUUGAAAGGAUUCUUCUUCGACGCAGGACAUUCCAUGUUCAUAUGAUCAUGUUUUCCACAUUCAAAAUAGAUGAAGCUUUGAUUUUAAGUGGCAACUUCAUUGCCUUUAGUGAAUCUCUUUGGUUGUCCAGCCUUACCAUUUUUAUUCCUUUUCAGGAAUUUACUGAACUUCUUCACUAGCAUGCUCAUGUCUUCUAUGUCCUCUUUUUCUGAAUCAUCUUCUGAGGAUUCAUCCAUAUCAACUUUAGCAUUUAGAGAAAUAUUCUUUCGAUUCUUCUCUUGAUCUUAAUGUUGUUCAAGUUGGUCAAUUCCAACUCGUUUUCUUGCAACUUUCCAAAGAGAACAGCCAAAGACAUCUUAGAUAAGCUUUUCUUUUCUGAGAUGUUUGUCACCUUGGGUUGCCAUUAUCUAGAAAGUGAUCAUAGAACUUUUAAGUUGAAAUCACUGUUUGACAAUACAUUCCCUAGAGCAAUUAGAUGAUUUUAAGGUGAGUAAAUCUCUUUAGGAGAUCUAGUAUUUUAUCUCUAGGCUUCAUAGAAAUAUUUCAUAUUCUUGGGAGAGAGUAUUGAGUCUCGACCAUUUUUCCUCCUCAGUUCCUUCAUGCGUGGUCUCUAGAGUAUCCCACAUUUCUUUAGCAGAUUUGCAGUUUGAUACUCUAAAGAACUUGUCAAUGCCAAGUGCUGAAAUGUGGAUGUUCUUUGCUUUGAGAUCAUAUUGCACUUUCUUUUCACCUUCAUCAUUCCAAACGGAUUUUGGUUUUACUUCCCUUACACUGUCAAUAUUUGUGAAAGGUUCAUAAGGUCUGUCCUCAAUCACAUUCCAUAUGUCCAUGUCUUGAUAUUCUAGAAAUAUUCUCAUCCUGAUUUUCCAGAAGUCAUAGCAUUCUCUAACGAAGCUUGGAGGGUGAUUGAUGUUGGAACCUUCUCCUAGAAAUGAUCUUGAGGCCAUCUAUGAAACAUGAUCAGAUUGGGAAAUAUUACUAAAAUUAAGCAAUAGUGCCAAUUGUAAGCUUUAGAUGCCAACUAAGAGGUAGGUGAAUUAGUUGUUGAGAGAAAUGGUUGAUUGUUCUGCUAUGUGAUCAAAGUAUAUGUACAACAGAUUGUUGAUGCAAAAUUCAACAAAGUAAAUCAAAUGUAAUUCACAAGAAUAAGGUAGAAGAAGAGUACACAAAGAAUUUUAUAAUGAUUCCCCUUCUUGUCCAGCGAAGGUUACAUCCAGUGCUCUUGCCACACAAUAGAUUUUUCAUUAGAUAAUUUGAGUUGCAAUUAUAAAUUCUCUCCCCGAGACCCUUGUAAGGCAAAAUUGACAAUGUUGGUCAAGAACUACCUAUCUUCUACCUUGUGAGAUUAUAAAGGUAGUAGUAAUGGUUAUGAUCGCUUUUAAAUCUAAAGUAGAAAAGAUAUAAUUCGAGUCAUGAUCUUCCUAUUAAAUUCCCAAUGUUUUAAUUAAUUGUGUAAUUAGAAGAUAAUUUUAGACUUACUCAUAAUUUUUUUUAAUAGUCAAAUAAUUGACGUAUAUAAAAUUCAAGCAUACCAUUCAUUCAUACAUUUAUCAAAAUAGGGUCUACCAUACCCUGGGAGUAUAUAAAAUGCAUUGACACCAUUACCUCAAAUUCAAGCAUACCAAUUAUUCAUACAUUUAUCAAAAUAUACAUGAUUCAAACGUUCACCAGGAAAAAAAAACUCAUUAAAAAAUUCAUCAAAAUAUACAUAAUUCAAACAUUUAUCAAAAAAAUAAGAACCACCAUUCCAAAAGUUACAUCAUUCCAAAAUUAUCAAACAUUCAUUCCAAAAUUUCAUAAUUAAAAAUAAAAUACACAUCAUUCCAAAAGUUACAUCAUUCAAACAUUCAUUCACUCAGAUAAUGAGUCAAAAGUAAAAAAAAAAUAGCAUUUAGACAUUCAUUUAGAUAUAUAUUCAGAAAAUGAAAAAAAGCAUUUUUUAUUAAUAAAACAUUCAGGUAUCCAAUCAUACACAAAAAGAUAUAUCAUCACACAUUCAUCUACAUAUGCAUACAUUCAUAAAUAAAUCAUUCAUAUGAUGCAUUUCAUGCAUUACCAUCAAUUAUUCGAAAAAAUAAAAAUAAAAUUCAAAUGAUGCAUCUUCACAUGAAUUCAAAAAAUGGGAAAGAAUAACAUGCAUGCAUAUUGCAUAAAUAAAAAUUUACAUCAUCUUGUUAUUCAUACAUCUAAGCCAUGCAUGCGCCUCAGACAUAACUCACUACCAAAGAUACUCAUGAGUUGAAAUUUGAUUUUUAAAGGUGAUAAUAUUGGGUUCGGUUGAAACGAUCUAAGAAGGAAGAAUUGUGGCUGCACAAGAUAAACUAGCUGCUCAUACUAAUACAUUAUCCUUAAGGAUAUAUUUUCAAAAUUCCUAUCAUAUAGAAACCCCAAUUGGCCAUGAUAAUCCUAAUCAUUCCUCAGCUCCCUACAAUGUUAUUAAUCCUCGAGAUUGGGAGAAGAUUAAGGGAAUCAAAGAAAGAAUUAAAGCUAUCGAGGAAGCAGGUUCCUAUAGUUUGAAGGACGUUAAAAACAUGUGCUUGGUACCAAAUGUGAUAUUGCCACCAAAGUUCAAGAAACCUAAAUUCGACAAAUAUAAAGGAACUUCUUGUCCUAAGGAUCACCUCACGAUGUAUGCCAGGAAAAUGACUCCGUAUAUCAGGGAUGACAAUUUGUUAAUCCAUGUUUUCCAAGAGAGCCCUAGUGGAGCUUCCGUCACUUGGUAAAUGUGCCUCGAACAUUCUCAUACCAAAUGUUUCAUGGAUUUGUGUAACGCUUUCCUUAAACAAUACAACUACAAUAUUGAUCAAGGUCCUGAUGGGGUACUACUCAAGAAGAUAUCCAAGAGAAAUAAUGAGUCCUUCAAGGAAUAUGUCCAAAGAUGGGCAUGAUUAGCCGCUUAGGUGAAGCCCAAGUUGUGUGAGCAUGAGAGUGUUUCGAUGUUUAUCAAUACCCUACAAUAUACUUUCUUUGAUCUGAUGAUUAGAAUGGUCGAUUCGGAUUUCCUUCAUUUGAUAACCAUAGGGGAAAGAAUUGAGAAUAACUUCACGAACACAAGAUUGAGAAAAACUUAGCCAACAUAGCAGUUCAAAAUGAUCUUGCAAGUGAAGAUAUGGAAGUGGAAAUCGCAUUCAAAGAGACCCUUAGCCAACCUUAAAUGCCUUAAUUUCUACAAGCAUCAUGUUAUUAUACCUCUAAAAAUGGUAAAGAAGGGUGGUCCCGAAAGCGAAAAAGGAAGAGUUUGUAAGGGAAUGCAAUAUCUGAUUAACUCUAUAUUGAUAUGCUUUCAAGGGAAUGUCUUUGUUUGAGAAUGCUUAAAAUCACUCCAAAUUCUCGUCUUGGUUCUAGAAAAAUGAUUUAAUUCAAAUCUAUCGCCCUCUCAAGGCUUUAGAGUAAUAAAUAGUAGGGCACUCAUGUCUCUUUCCAUGAAUAAGAAUUUAUUUUCUAAUGCACAUUUUUUUAACGAUUACAUACUAAUAUAUUGAUCAUAAAAUUCUCAUUCCAUGCUUCAUACCACACAAUUCAUCACCAAAAGAAAAACAAGUCAAACAAAUCAAUUCAUGCAUUAAUAUGAGUAUAUUUAUUUCAAAAGUUUAAAAGAAAAGGAGAACGAUGCAAAUGUAAGACCCAAAAUGGUGUGAAUCCUUAGGCAGAUUUUUCUAAUAACACAAAGUAUCUUGGAAAAUCUCAAACACUAAGAAGAUAUCCCUAGUCAUCCAAUUUGAGCCUUACACUUUAUAAAAGGAGAUUUCUUCUAAAAUACCCGCAAAAUAUCAAAACCUGGGUUAGGGUAGUUGUUCAACCGUUUUUCUUGACAUUCAAUUAUUAAGAAAUGAAUACACUCUACCAUUUCCAAAUCUAACCUAGAGGAUAAAGUACGAAGAAACGAAAACAAAAAAUAUAUGUACAAAAACCUACUGAGAAUCCUCAAUAAAAAUCUCAAGCAAAAGUUAGGGCAAAUAAAAUGUACUGUCAAUGACCAAAAAAUGAAUUACCCACAUGCCCCUGGAUAAGAAACUCUGGUCUCGAUAUUAGGCUCUCACAGAUUCGAAAAAAACAAAACAAAACAAAAUCUUGGUAUUUGAAUAUCAUGUAAGAAAACUGUUGAAAUAGGACAAUGGAGAAAGGAGAACAUAGAAAGGGGUUUGAGAAACACAUUUUUUAGCCUUAUCCUUUUUCUUGCUAACUCUUAGCCAAGCCACGAUACAAGCUCAAAAGAUGUUGUCGAGAAUUUGAUUUGUCGAAGGAAUAAACACUAGGGAAGAGAAACGCUAACUCCAAUAAAUCUCAAAACGUUUGAUAAAACAUCUCAUUUUAAUGCAUCAGAUUAAAUCUCAAUCUUUCAUUAUCACCACCACCACAUCAACACUCAAAAUCAAAAUAUUCAAGUUUGCAUGAUCUUUGUUUUUAGUAUUUCUUUUUAAAGAGUUGUGCAUGGAAAAACAUAUGACAAGUGGAAAUCAAAAGAACGAUUGUCAAUUCAAACUGGGGAAAUUUAUGGUGGUUGAUCUCAUUUCUCGAAUGAGAGUACCAAGAAACCUAUAUGUGGGCAAGGCUGAAGUUGCUCAUCAUGGACCUAUCCAAAAUCCCUCAACCAAACAGAGGCAAUAUCUUAUGUUCUCACCUUCAAACUUCAAUGAAAACGCAUGCUUUCAUGCACUUAUGACUGUCACACUUAAGGGUGUUCAAAAAUAGCGAAAGCAAGCAAAAAUAAACAAAAAAGAGUGUUAGGAUGCAAAUCCACAAGGGCAACUUAAGAAAAGGACAGUAAUGCUAUGUCAAAAACCUUCAACGACAACUUAGUAUCAUAAUAAAAACAAGGAAUUCCUAACAUGUACCAACACUAGGUAUUCUUGGCAAAAAUUAGGGAAAAUAAAUGAACACCCUCAAGUGAAAAUCCACUGUUGUUCAUCUUCAACCAUGCAAGUUGCGACAGUUUUUUUGAAGUUAGAGUCACAAUCUAUGUUUGGAAAGAUUCUCAUCAGGUCUAUGACAAAUAUAUCAGAGCAAUUUAUUGGACGAUCCAACUCUUCCUAUAAAUUCUUAACAUGACACUGGGGCAAAAUUAUGGCAAGAUGCUGGCACAUAGUCCUUUUUAACAAGAUCCAACAAAGAUCACAUUUCACUUAAGUCAAUAAAAACAGUUUCUUUGAGUUUUAGAAAAUUACGAUAUCAUAAUGCAUGCGUUCAUUACUCAUACAUAAUGUCAACCAUAUCAUUCUCAAUAUAACACAACAUAUUCUGAAGCAUCCAUAUCACUACUCUACAUAUUUUAAGAAUCUUUGCUUUCCAAGAUCCCGAGCCUAUUGUACUUUCAAUUAUAACUUUCUAAGACCCUGAGUUUUAUGUGCUUUCCAUCAAACACACCAGGACCCCGAGCCUGAUGUGAAUUUUGGAGUUCCGAGAGUACCGACCUGCGUUCUCGUUGCUUUUCAGGACCCCUAGCUUGAUGUGCUUUUAAUUAUAGCUUUCUAGGGCCUUGAGCUUGAUGUGCUUUCAAUCAUUCUUUCCUGGACCCCGAGCUUGAUGUGCUUUAAACCAAACUUUCUAGGACCCCGAGCUUGAUGUGAAUUUCCGAGUUUCGGCAGUACAUAACAUGCGUUCUCGUAUUAAAUGUUUUUGCUUUCCAAGACCCGAGCCUGAUGUGCUUUCAGUUACUCAUUCCAAGACCACGUGUAUGAUGUGGAUUUUUAAGUCCCAACAGUACCCAACUUGCAUUCUCCUUUUAAAAAGUUUUGCUUUCCAGGACCCUGAGCCAAGUGUGAUUUAAAUCAAACUUUCUAGGACCCCGAGCCUGAUGUGAGUGUCUGAGUUCCGACAGUACUCGACUUGUGUUCUCAUUUUAAAAUAUUUUCUUUCCAGGACAUUGAGCUUAAUGUGCUAUAAAUCCAUCUUUCUAAGACCUCAAGCCUUACGUGCUUUCAACUAAUCUAUCCAGGACCCUAAGCCUGAUGUGAAUUUUCAAGUUCUAACGAUAACCAACAUGUGUUCUCGAUUUUAAAUUUUUUGUUGAAAUCAUUAUCUCGGCCUUGACAAAAUUAAUGGUUAUUCUUUACUAGAUAUUUACUAUGGUAACACUCAAACCUCAGUUUGCAUGCUAUCAAGUAAACAACAAGUAAAGAGGGGCAACUGUGAGUACUGCAUUUUGUUUGGCAUAUAACAAAUACAAAGAUUUAAAUAAAAUGAAAAAAACAAUUAACUAUUUCAGUUACACUUGCUGUAGUUAUAGAUGCACAUAAAUCAGUAAUGAUGAGCAGUUUCAGAUGAAAUAAGUCAGAAAAAAAAAAGGUUGUGUACAUUUCUGAUUAUCAAUUGGCAAACCAAAAGGUCCUUCACAAACCAUUAUAAAAGGCAAGAGGAUACCCACACCUAAAAAACACAUAUACAUGCAUAUCACAUAUACAGAGAGGACAGUGAAAAUCACAAUCAUACAUACAACACACAAAUAUUACAUAUACUCCUAAACCUACACAGAUCAGAACAGAGAGUGACAUACCACAUAUACUGAAAUCAGAACACAGACGCAUAUUACACAUACAUCUACAAGAUCACACACACAUAUCAUAUUUAGGAGCACAUCUAUUGUCCUAUAGUUUGUGCCACUCCAUGUGCCAUGUGUGUGUGAUUGGUCAGAAAAAUACUUAAUAAUUAAAUUUUAACUUAAAUAUAUUUUUGCUAACCAAUCACACACUCAUGGCACAUGGAGUGGCACAAAGUAUGGGACGACAGAUGUGUACCCAUCAUAUCUAUAUCAUACACCUAAAACAUAAACAUAGAACAUAACAAAACAUAUCAAGAUUAGGAACAUAAAGAGCAGUGAAUUGAAAAGAUUGAAGAGCAAGAAAUAUACGAGAUAUCAAAAGCUAGAGAAAAGGGGAUCGGUAGCAGGUGAAGACAAUAACAACAAGGUUAUAUACAAAGUUGUCCUCGGUAACAACUUAUUCUUCCUCAUUCAAUUGUUAAUCAUCAGUUAUACGUCCAUAGUCAUGCUUUAGAUACAUCAUAUUUAAUCUUAAUACAUGUAUGAAAGCAAAUAAUACAUCAAGGCAAUUACAAAACAGUUUUAAUUAGCACUUGUUUUUGAAUGAAUCUUCAUCCAAAUCCAUUUUUCUUAAACCCAUCAUUAACCAAUACAUACAUUUAGAAGCUUAACAAUAAAUUAGCACCAUGGAAAUCCAAACCCUAUAACCCCAACUGUUGGUAUACCUUUUCCAUAUUGUUAUCCAAUCUUAUGCCAUCCGCUUCUAUUGGAGGCAAUCGCUGACACCAUAGGUGCCCGCCGCCAUCAAUUCAGUUCCGCCACCAUUGCGGAGUGAGCCCCACCAUACACUGAUUAUAUUCACCACCUUCCUUUGCCUUAAUGAGCCUCUAAGAGGGGAAGAUAUAAAAAACAAAAUAACAUAGGAGAGGAUGAAGAAACAAAGAAAAAGAAAUAAAAAUGAAGGAGAUGAAAAAUAAAAAUAGAAAUGGAAAAGAUAAUUACCCGUUCUUAGAACCACCGUGAUAAUAGUAAGGUCAUAGUUCGAUUCGUCUCUAACUUCUCUGAAAAUGAGAAGAAGGUCUACGACGAACACCAUCUAUAAGCUAUUAGUUUCAUUGAAUUAAAAUAAUCAUAUAUUUCAAAUACUUUAAAAUCAAUGAAAAUCAAACUCAACCAAAUCGAUGUUUUCAAAAUCAGCUGAACUAAUCAAUUAAUUUUCAAAUCAAAACUACGUAGUCUUGAUUUCCCUAUUGCACCUAGAGAUACGUAGGAGGAAUAUAAACUCUUGUCAAACACAAAAACAAAAAAUAAAACGUUUUGCAUUAGUAAUUGAAUUUUCAAUGAAUAUGUUUAAGGUUAUAAAAGUCCAUAUGAUUAGUGAGCGUACCAUUUUAGUACGGGCGGAUGGAGUGUUAAUACUUUCUCCGAUCCAUAAUCGACUCCCGAGCUCAUAACUCUUGUUCAAAGGACCAUUUUCUCCAAUUCGAGCAUCAAGAGCAUUUUCUACGUUUUAACAUCAAAAAAUGUAGUGGCGACUCCAUAUCAUUGGGAGAAGUAGAAGUCAUGUUCGCCUCCUCCUAAGUUGCAGACACGAUCUUCCAACUGAAUAUAAGAUCGUGAGAAGCCCCAUAUUUUAAAUGAUGCAUCAAAACUGAAUUCUUUGAUGUUAUUAAAGCUAGUGGUUCUGAAAAAUUAGCAAUACAUGACAAAGUUCACACAAAAAUGCAUGUAGUCAUUUUUUAGCAUUUAUGGACAUUUUUCUCCUUAUUGAAUGAGUUUAAUGCCAAAUCAAAUAAUAUUUUCCAGUCACAAAACAUAAUUCAAUGUGGUUUGAAAUUUGAAAUUUUGAACAUGAUUUUGGCUUAAACAGUCACCCAACUUUCUAAGUAUGUUCACCAUUUGGUUAAACCAUUUUUCUCAGAAAAUUUGGGCGACCAAACCAUUUUCCCUUCAAACAUUUUUCUCAACCAUCAUGAACUAAGUUAUGUUAAGGUAAAAUUUGGUCACAAAUUCUUGUGGUUCAAGUGAAUGCUUAUUUGGAGAAAAUCUAGAGAUUUUUCACUUUAGGAAACCUUUUCAUGUGAAAGUGGUUUAAUAAUGUUCUCAAAACAACUAACACAUAUUUAACAUGCACAAGACAAAAAUAAUCAAUCAUGAUAUAUAUGUUGUUCAUAAAAUAUUCAAAAAAUGGGUAUUUUGAAACUUUGUGGUUUGGGAAUUUUUUAAAAUAAAUUUGAUUUGAUUUUAGAAGAUUUACCAACAAAAAGUUUCAAAGAAUAAUAUACAAUAAAAAGAGCACAACUUUUAGAAGAAGAAGAAUCAUGGUACUUACAUGUUCAAGCCUUGAAGUUUUGGAGAGAAAAGAAUAUUUUGCUUUUCAAAAUGAGAGUGGGUAGUGAUUUCGGUCAAAAAGGGUG